AUGAACGCUGGCGGCGUGCCUAAUACAUGCAAGUCGAGCGAACGGACGAGAAGCUUGCUUCUCUGAUGUUAGCGGCGGACGGGGGAGUAACACGUGGAUAACCUACCUAUAAGACUGGGAUAACUUCGGGAAACCGGAGCUAAUACCGGAUGAUAUUUUGAACCGCAUGGUUCAAAAGUGAAAGACGGUCUUGCUGUCACUUAUAGAUGGAUCCGCGCUGCAUUAGCUAGUUGGUAAGGUAACGGCUUACCAAGGCAACGAUGCAUAGCCGACCUGAGAGGGUGAUCGGCCACACUGGAACUGAGACACGGUCCAGACUCCUACGGGAGGCAGCAGUAGGGAAUCUUCCGCAAUGGGCGAAAGCCUGACGGAGCAACGCCGCGUGAGUGAUGAAGGUCUUCGGAUCGUAAAACUCUGUUAUUAGGGAAGAACAUAUGUGUAAGUAACUGUGCACAUCUUGACGGUACCUAAUCAGAAAGCCACGGCUAACUACGUG
rnacentral:rRNA from 1 species